rnacentral:lncRNA from 1 species
CUUCCCCGCACCAUGGAGUUCUCCGAGAGGAAAAGAAGCAGGAAAUCCCAGAGCUUCAAACUGGUGAGCCGAGAUUAUCACCACGAGGUGUAUAAGAUCCCAGAAUUCAGCAACGAUGUUAAUGGGGAGGCCAAAGAGACACAGCCCAUUUUUUUAGUCCAAGUUGAGGAAGAUGCAAGAAUUCCAAUGAAGGACCAGGCUUGAGAUAGAUACGCUUUCAAAGUGGUUGCUCCAGAAGGCCUUCAACAUCAAGAGACAAAAGAUUGAACAGCCUGGGAGUG